rnacentral:lncRNA from 1 species
CCUCGUUGGUCAGCCCCCCGCCACACCGCAGCGCUGUCUGUCAGCCGGUCUCGCGGGGGCGUUCACUUUGCUGCGCAAUGGUGUCGUUGGCAGUUCGGACCUCUCAUCUGCGCAACUGAAACAGGGCUCUGCAGGACUGGCGCUAUGACGGUAACUCAGUGGCUGAUGCUUCUGAUAGCCCAGGGGGCCACGGCCUUCGUGUGUCCACCGCACGUCUGCGAAAACACCACGUGCCCGCAUGUCUCAGUCGAAACCUGCCACGGUCGACUUAGCACUGAAGGCAGCUUCUGCGGGUGCUGCAUGAUCUGCGUACCCGAAUUAGAGCUUGGGCAGCCGUGCAUGUAUUUAACGUUGUUCGGUGUGCCCGCAACGUCCAAAUGUGCGAAAGGCCUCAUCUGCGAUUCUUACACCCACGUGUGCAGCCGACCUCGGUGGCACAUUACUCCUGAACAUAACAAAAACAUUCAGACAUUUUUUCGCAAAUUUAUUCAAUAAAACAACCCUGGCAUCACAGUAGCUGGCGCCUCAACUCCCUGCAUUCCAACAUUUACUCGGUGUCAAGAAAGAAUGCUAUUGCAAAUAACAUCAUUUCUGGUAGCCUGCGCCUAUGUCAAUGUGAGCUUUCAGAUUAUUGCCAUUGUCUACUUCACACACGUGUACGUUAAGGUGAGGCGCAGUGAUGUAUUGGUGCCAUAAUAUAACGGCACAUUUUUAGUACAAUUUCCAAUUUGAGAAGUGCCAUUAAGACAUAAGCUUUGUUUCAGCAAGUGUAAUUCACUUGUAUUUUCUUCGGGUACCAAAUCUAUCAGAAGUGUUGGUUGUUUCGAUCACAAUA